AUUGAACGCUGGCGGCAGGCUUAACACAUGCAAGUCGAGCGGAGUGAUGGUGCUUGCACUAUCACUUAGCGGCGGACGGGUGAGUAAUGCUUAGGAAUCUGCCAUUUAGUGGGGGACAACAUUCCGAAAGGAAUGCUAAUACCGCAUACGUCCUACGGGAGAAAGCAGGGGAUCUUCGGACCUUGCGCUAAAUGAUGAGCCUAAGUCGGAUUAGCUAGUUGGUGGGGUAAAGGCCUACCAAGGCGACGAUCUGUAGCGGGUCUGAGAGGAUGAUCCGCCACACUGGGAAUGAGACACGGCCCAGACUCCUACGGGAGGCAGCAGUGGGGAAUAUUGGACAAUGGGCGGAAGCCUGAUCCAGCCAUGCCGCGUGUGUGAAGAAGGCCUUUUGGUUGUAAAGCACUUUAAGCGAGGAGGAGGCUACUAGUACUAAUACUACUGGAUAGUGGACGUUACUCGCAGAAUAAGCACCGGCUAACUCUGUGCCAGCAGCCGCCGCGGUA
rnacentral:rRNA from 1 species